UUAUUUAUACAUACAUUUCUCCAAAUCUGCACUGAUGAAGAAACAACUUCGUAUACAUCUUGGAUGACCUGAGGAUAAAUAUAUUUUCAGCAAAUUUUUUAUUUUUGGGUGCACUGUUCCUUUAAGCCAAUAAAUACAGAAAAUGUUCUAGCUGUAAAUGAAAGUUUUAUUCCCCCUGAGACCCAGGCAUAGACCUUCGAUACUGAUACUGUUUUGUAAUCAUCACUGAAAUCGGACUAAUUUUCAAAUUGUUUGUCGUAAAAAUAUAUUACAGAAAAACGGGGGGUUCGGUUUUAGCAAUAAAUAAGUAGUAGAGUGAAUUCAGGUAAAUUGGGACUUUUUUUUCUAUUGAGAAAACUGGACCUCUUAUCCUGAACUAACCCUAAAUAAAUUCCAUAAAACAUUAAUCCUGCUGGGAACCAUAAAAAUAGUAUUGUGAUUUUUUUUAUGUCAUUACAUUGGUUGGAGCAUAAGAAACAAAAUGAGAAAAAAUAAAAAAUAAAAUUGAUAUUUUAUUAAUAUAUUAUUAUAUGCCCUUUGUGGAGGACACCAGGGCUGGCUUCAGACCCAACAAAACUCUUUUAAAACGGAAACGGUGGUGCAUUGAACACUCUGUUCUGAUGGCACUAGAGUUGCAACUACGGCAGCUGAGAAGGCCAUUCUUUGUGUUCCUUUUGAAUUUUCAGAUCCUAAUGAAAUCAGUAUAAAUACAUGUUUAAUCCUGAAAAAAAAAAUUUUCAUUGUUACAGACACUGCCCUUGCCAUCCAGAAUAAAAGAGAACAUCCCAAUCGAGUGAAGGGACUUGUGGAUACUGUGGUUCCUAAUUACUGUGAUCCAACAUUUGCCUCGCAUUUCAGGAUGAAAAGACAAGCAUUUCAGCUGUCCAGCAGCUGGGAUUUCUCCUUCAUCCCUGCAGUGGGAUGGAAAAUGAUGUCACCGAUGCUGAUGCUUCUGCAGCUAGCAGAAAAGUGCCAUUGGUACCGAUUUGUGAAGAGCUUCUUCCUGAUUGAGCUCAGGAAGAUGAACAGCUGGGAGAACCAAUCAUCAUGGAGAAGAGGUGGGUCUUUUAAGUGAUAAAAAAGGGAAGUGAUGUGUGGCCAAGUAUGGUUACCCAUACUAGGAAUUUGUGCUCUGCAUUUAACCCAUCCAAGUGUACACACACACACUUGGUCCAACUCUCUAUCCAUUAGGCCACAACUGACUUUUAACUUCCCCCUGACCAAUAAUCAUGGGUUCAUCAGGGUUAAAAUAUGAUGGCACUGACUGAGCAUCAUAUUUCAUUUGUGUAUCUGUUCCAAAGCACAGCUGGUUAACAUAUAUGGAUUUUCAUCUAGUUUUUAUAUAAUUUUAGAUUUAUGAUGUGGUUUAGAUUUAGAUGUAUUAAUGGUUAGAAUCAUUUAAUGCAUUUCAUGUAACUAAAAUAUGGGUUAUUUUUGCAUUGUCCAUCCAAAUAAAAGCAAAUCUCUAAUAAAAGGUAAUAUACUGCUACUAUUAUAUCUAGAGACCAGAAUUACCUGUAACACCCUAAAAAUCAUCCACAAUAGCCUAGCAGCUCCCUGUAAUAUAGUGGCUUCAACCUUUGUACAAAAUCUAGUUGGAAUUAUAAUUCAGAGCCACAGAUAUGAUGCAUACCACACCGCCACUCAAAACUAGAUGCAUCUUUUAUGGAUCUGUAGCACCAGAGGAAUUCUAAUAAGCUAUUUCAUGCAUCACUGUUCACAGUGUGAGUCUGUCUUCUGUAUGUCCUUAUGCUACUGCGAACACAUGAACAGUAUUGAUUUAUGACAUCUUCUGGUUUCUCUCUUUGCAUGGAGUCAGCGGUCACAUGUGGAUCAUGGAUGUUAGAACUCCAUGUCUGACUGACUGAAGUAUGUAGUUCUGUUACCAUGGUGAGCAUGGAAUCCAGCUCAGCCAGACAGAGCAUCUGAUUGGCUGG
rnacentral:lncRNA from 1 species